ACACCGAUGCACUUCGUGUGUACAAUUCGUUGAUAUAUCACAGUCGUUCCACUCACGUAGGGCCUUGCUCGAGCACCAUAUAAAAAGCGCAACCACGCAACACACGUACAGCUCUCGCCUCGGCUGUAUCCAUAGCACCUUGUGCACGUACUCCCCCUUCGUACCGUGCUCUGUCCUCUCUUUCCCACUCUCUUUUUCCUUCUUUCUCUUUUUCUCCUUCGUUCUUGAACGCUGCCGCGGGAAUGAACCACGACGCGAUCGCGCCUCUUCUCCCCCGGAUCGCUCUCGAGAACCCGCUCGUCGUCUUGUAGAGAGAAAUUCUGUUCUCCAGUGUUCUCUCUUUCUCUCACUUUCUGCACGCGUCUCCCAUUUUCCACGGGUCAGAAUUCUUCGAAAGUGUCCGUGCCGGCCGAAGCACGGUCACGCGCGCGCACACGCCGUUGGGCGACCGUCUAAAAAUAUUACGACAACCGGAAAUUUUCUACGUGAUGCAGCCUGCCUUUCGUAUCGCGCGACAGGAUCCCGUCGUCGUGGUGUCGCAAAGUGCCACUCAACGGCCGCCGAGAUUGGCGCGCCGCGACGUGAGUCGCGGCUAACUUCGCGCCACUCGCUCGAAUUCCUCCUCACCGUCGGCCCAACGGACGCCGAUUAUGUGGGUUAUGAGUACGUGGACCGCCUACGUGAAUCAUCUCGAUCGAUCGUCGCGGCGAUCAAUCACACAAUCGAUCGCGAUGCAACGCGACGGGCUGCUCUCUUCGACCCCGUGGGAAAGCAACGCGCCUCGUCGCCAAACCCAGACGAGUCGCGCGUUCGACGUUCACCUCGUUCGACUGUUCGCUACGUUCACUUCGAUAGCAAAACCAGGUCGGGUGGCAUGACUCACUCAACUCACUCGGCGGUUCGCAUCGAACGGACGCGACAAACUUUUCGCAACGCGGGUUUUGCACCUUUGCGAUCCGCGGUGGGAUUUCGAACGACUACAGAUCAAUAUUGGAAAUCGAUAAUGACUGGCAGAAUCGUUCCACCGAGGAUCCACGGCAACCUUCCGCGUGCGCGUGCCGCGCAACCGUUCCGCGAAAGGCGAGUACUUCACGGUACUUGCGUAAGGCACGCACUGAGGAAGAACGACGAACCGCCCGACGAACGGACCGCGAGUUCGUGCAUCCACCAAUUCACCGCCACGUCCAACGCACCCACACGCAUGCACGCACGCGCGCACGGUGGCGGGACAAGAAGACUGAAACGGGUUCGGUCUAUUGUGGAGAAAGGGGUAUCACCGCAAGCCCGAGAGAGAGACGCGAUGGUCGGAAGGAGGAAGAAGACGAAGGGAGGGUGGAAUCGAAGAAGGUAAGGUGAACGAGCCAAGACGAACGCGAGAAUCACGAUUGCCUUGGUCAUGCUGUUGAAUCGUGCAUGACACUCAUCGCGAGAAUCGAUUCGUUUUGAAAAUAUUCAAUUAAAUUAGACAAAUAUAGCGAUGCUGUUAAACAAUAGAAAGAGAAGACAAAAGGAUCAGGAAGGAUAUAUCAUCGAUAUAGAUUCGAAAUAUUCAAUGCUCUCUCUGUUGCACAAAACUUCUAUUUAUUUUAUUAUUGCUGUUAUUCUAUAUGAAGGUAUACGCCAAUCGUUAUAUUUUUACAAUCGCGAUUCGAUGCGCAGAUCAUUCUCGCGUAUACCGCGCUUUAUUAAAAUUUAUAUUUAUCGAUAUUAUAUCUAUUUAAGUAACUAUGGGUUUUGCUUAACUUUUGUAACGAAGUGGAAAUAAUCACUGUGAUAAUGAUCUAAAAGCUAGAUCGGAAAAUGGCUUAAAAAAUGUUUUAUUUGACUGUAUAAGUUAUCGACUGUACGAUACAAAAUAUGAAAUAAUUUACAAAGUUUUCCUGGCUGGGCAAAAAUUGCACAGUGCAAGAAAAACAUAUACAUGGCUUUUAGUACAUUUUACAUGACAUGUAACAAGAUUAAUAAAUAUCUUACUCUGAAGAGA